AUUAAACGCUGGCGGCAUGCCUUACACAUGCAAGUCGAACGGCAGCACGGGGGCAACCUUGGUGGCGAGUGGCGAACGGGUGAGUAAAGCAUCGGAACGUGCCCUGGAGUGGGGGAUAACGUAGCGAAAGUUACGCUAAUACCGCAUAUUCUGUGAGCAGGAAAGCAGGGGAUCGCAAGACCUUGCGCUCUGGGAGCGGCCGAUGUCGGAUUAGCUAGUUGGUGGGGUAAAGGCCUACCAAGGCGACGAUCCGUAGCGGGUCUGAGAGGAUGAUCCGCCACACUGGAACUGAGACACGGUCCAGACUCCUACGGGAGGCAGCAGUGAGGAAUAUUGGUCAAUGGGAGCAAUCCUGAACCAGCAAUGCCGCGUGUGGGAUGACAGGGCUUCGCCUUGUAAACCACUGUCGGACGGGACGAAAGGAGGCCUCGGGCCUCUGGGACGGUACCGUCAAAGGAAGGGUCGGCUAACUACGUGCCAGCAGCCGCGGUAAU
rnacentral:rRNA from 1 species